rnacentral:rRNA from 1 species
CCUACGGGAGGCAGCAGUGGGGAAUCUUGCACAAUGGGCGAAAGCCUGAUGCAGCAACGCCGCGUGCGGGAAGAAGGCCCUAGGGUUGUAAACCGCUUUCAGUAGGGAAGAAAAUGACGGUACCUACAGAAGAAGGUGCGGCCAACUACGUGCCAGCAGCCGCGGUGACACGUAGGCACCAAGCGUUAUCCGGAUUUAUUGGGCGUAAAGAGCUCGUAGGCGGUUCGGUAAGUCGGGUGUGAAAACUCUGGGCUCAACCCAGAGAGGCCACCCGAUACUGCUGUGACUAGAGUGCGGUAGGGGAGCGGGGAAUUCCUGGUGUAGCGGUGAAAUGCGCAGAUAUCAGGAGGAACACCAGCGGCGAAGGCGCCGCUCUGGGCCGUAACUGACGCUGAGGAGCGAAAGCAUGGGUAGCAAACAGGAUUAGAUACCCUGGUAGUCCAUGCCGUAAACGUUGGGCACUAGGUGUGGGUCUCAACCAACGAGAUCCGCGCCGUCGCUAACGCAUUAAGUGCCCCGCCUGGGGAGUACGGUCGCAAGACUAAAACUCAAAGGAAUUGACGG